ACACUGACUACACCCUGACUACACCCUGUACAUCCACACUGACUACACACUGACUACACCCUGUACCUCCUCACUGACUACACCCUGACUACACCCUGUACAUCCUCACUGACUACACCCUGUACCUCCUCACUGACUACACCCUGACUACACCCUGACUACACCCUGUACAUCCUCACUGAGCAGCUACGACGGUUGAAAGGCUCCGACGCAUCCUGGAAGAAUGACCAGGAGCCUCCACCAGAGGCGUUGGACUUCAGUGAUGAUGAGGCAGAACAGAAGAUGAAAAGGAGGAAGAAGGGGAAUGUCCAGAAGAGUGAGAGAGAAAGAGGACAGAGAGCUGAUCCUCAACCAGACAGAGAUUCCGUCACCAGACCGCAGAUGUCCCAGAGGCCUUUGCAACAGAGUCGUCCACCCCGCCGUGACAACUGGGGUCCCCCACCCCGAUACGAAGGGGCUCCAUUCUACCCACACCAGCCCCACUAC